ACAGAAGCUUAGGUUAAUUAAAAACUCGGGACCUUCAAAGUCCCACACAGGGGAUGAUCCCCUAACUUCUG
rnacentral:tRNA from 1 species